rnacentral:rRNA from 1 species
ACGGAAGGCAGCAGUGGGGAAUAUUGGACAAUGGGGGAAACCCUGAUCCAGCGACGCCGCGUGAGUGAAGAAGUAUUUCGGUAUGUAAAGCUCUAUCAGCAGGGAAGAUAAUGACGGUACCUGACUAAGAAGCCCCGGCUAACUACGUGCCAGCAGCCGCGGUAAUACGUAGGGGGCAAGCGUUAUCCGGAUUUACUGGGUGUAAAGAGAGCGUAGACGGCAUGGCAAGUCUGAUGUGAAAACCCGGGGCUCAACCCCGGGACUGCAUUGGAAACUGUCAGGCUUGAGUGCAGGAGAGGUAAGUGGAAUUCCUAGUGUAGCGGUGAAAUGCGUAGAUAUUAGGAGGAACACCAGUGGCGAAGGCGGCUUACUGGACUGUAACUGACGUUGAGGCUCGAAAGCGUGGGGAGCAAACAGGAUUAGAUACCCUGGUA